rnacentral:rRNA from 1 species
AUAUAAUUAAGCGGAGGAAAAGAAACUAAACAGGAUUCCCUUAGUAACGGCGAGUGAACCGGGAAGAGCUCAAACUGAAAAUCCUUUUUGGUCUCCAAAUUGGAAUUGUAGUCUAUAGAGGCACUGUCAGUUGUGGCCCCGACCAAAGUGUACUGGAAAGUGCCGGCAUGGAGGGUGAGACCCCCGUUCCAGGUUGGGAGUCCGCAGCGUACGACAUGUCUUCUAAGAGUCGGGUUGCUUGGGAGUGCAGUCCAAAGUGCGAGGUAAACUCCUCGUAAGGCUAAAUAUGACCCCGAGACCGAUAGCGCACAAGUA